rnacentral:lncRNA from 1 species
UUAUUGAAUUGAAUCAUCUCUUCUCUCCCUCUUACUUCCCUCAGUGGGUGUCAGCUGCGUUCUGGCAUGAGUGAGGCUAAAUGGGGAUGCUCAGUUUGUCUUUCCCCUCCGGCUGGAAUAACACCUUGCCUCAUUCCCUCAUAGCUCUUCAGAUUAGCGUAGAUUAAAUGGGAGGAGAGGACUCAUGCCCUAGGCUGAGGCCAACACGGAUGCCAAGACCAGGUUCUGCUCAUUGGCUGGAGGCCCCCCUCACAUCAUGUCACUUGUGGUGGCAUCUGUCAGGUGAGUUUCCGUAAACAGGCAGGUGGCCGGAGAAGGACAAGCCUGGGCUUGCCUCUCACACAUGCAGGUUCUGUUUUUCCUUUCCCCUUUGGUCUUUGUAUGUUUGGUUGGUUGACCUCAGCUGUAAUUCUGAGAAACCCAAGGAUGGAAAAAAAAAAGAAAGAACAAGCCUCAUUCUGAAGCAUUUGCAUUUCCUGAAGUCAAAUGGCAAGGUGUAUUUUAAUUCUUCUUUAAGAAUCUUUUUAAGCAAAAAGUGGUUUCAAGCAACAGGAAAAAAACAGGAAUGUCAGCCUCAAAACAAAAUCCAUGCCAGGCUCAGGUCAUCUGGCUGGUUCUCCUCACUCUUGACAUUUUAG